CUUGCAGCGAAGCCCGGAAUCCGCUAGGCUUAAUGCUGUAGCAAGGCUUCCAAGGCUUUUGCCGGCAAGGCUUUUGCAAGG
rnacentral:tRNA from 1 species